rnacentral:rRNA from 1 species
UACGUAGGGGGCAAGCGUUGUCCGGAAUCAUUGGGCGUAAAGAGCGUGUAGGCGGUUCGGUAAGUCGGCUGUGAAAGUCCAGGGCUCAACCCUGGGAUGCCGGUCGAUACUGCCGGACUAGAGUUCGGAAGAGGCGAGUGGAAUUCCCGGUGUAGCGGUGAAAUGCGCAGAUAUCGGGAGGAACACCUAUGGCGAAGGCAGCUCGCUGGGACGUUACUGACGCUCAGGCGCGAUAGCGUGGGGAUCAAACAGG